rnacentral:misc_RNA from 1 species
GGGWGAAGUCGUAACAAGGUAACCGUAGGGGAACCUGCGGUUGGAUCACCUCCUUUCUAAGGAAAAACGCUGUUGUCUUAGUAUCUGUUUCACACACAACAUCACAGGCUGUGGGAGGAGUCUUCGGACUCUGAACCUAGGGGCUAGUAGCUCAGUUGGUUAGAGCACACGCUUGAUAAGCGUGGGGUCGGAGGUUCAAGUCCUCCCUGGCCCACCAUUACAAAGUUUAGGUGUGGUUACUGAAAGCUUUCGAGUUUCUGGUAGCGACAUGUAAGUGUGUUAAGGGGUUUUGAGAUCUGAGCAGGCAGAUUCGAUGGCAGCAACGUAAUGUACAUUAAGUACAUGAGGCGCCGACAGAUGAAUCUAACGAACUUAGAACGCAAAAGAACUAACACAAUUUGGGGGUGUAGCUUAACUGGGAGAGCGCCUGCCUUGCACGCAGGAGGUCAUCGGUUCGAUCCCGUUCACCUUCACCAAUAUAUGUGUGAUCUGUGAAAAAGUGUGAGUAUAGAUAAGAUAUUUGAACGUAGGAUGAUCGGAAGAUUGGACUGCGUUAGAUGGAUGACAGAGUAAAGACGAAUACAAUAAACAAUCCUAGUUUAACAUUAUAGUGUUAAGUUAGGCUGACGAAAGUUAGGCUAAUAAAACACAAACGCGAAACUAAAUUCAAUUUAACAGAAGCUCUUAAGAGUAAUUCUUGGGAGCGUCGAGUCAAACUUGUUUUAGGGAUGUUGAGUUAGAACUAGGCGAGUUCAAGAGAGGCGACGCAAUGUAUGAAUAAUACAUGAGGAGCCAAACGAAGAACUCAACGACGUAAAUAACUCAAGAGACCAAAACAAGGAUAUCAAGCGUCAAAAGGGCAUCUGGUGGAUGCCUAGGCACAAAGAGGCGAUGAAGGACGUGCUAAA